rnacentral:rRNA from 1 species
UACAGAGGGUGCAAGCGUUGUUCGGAAUUAUUGGGCGUAAAGCGCGUGUAGGCGGCUUUGCAAGUCGGGUGUGAAAGCCCUCAGCUCAACUGAGGAAGUGCGCCCGAAACUGCAGAGCUUGAGUACCGGAGAGGAUGGCGGAAUUCCCCAAGUAGAGGUGAAAUUCGUAGAUAUGGGGAGGAACACCGGUGGCGAAGGCGGCCAUCUGGGACGGUACUGACGCUGAGACGCGGAAAGCGUGGGGAGCGAACGAG